UUAGAGUUUGAUCAUGGCUCAGAACGAACGUUGGCGGCACGCUUAAUACAUGCAAGUCGAACGAGAAACUUGGUUCGCCAAGUGGAAAGUGGCAGACGGUUGAGUAACGCGUGGGAAUCUACCUAGAGGUUCGGAAUAACUACUGGAAACGAUAGCUAAUACCGGAUAAGCCCUUCGGGGGAAAGAUUUAUUGCCUUUAGAUGAGCCCGCGUCGGAUUAGCUUGUUGGUAAGGUAACGGCUUACCAAAGCAACGAUCCGUAGCUGAUCUGAGAGAAUGAUCAGCCAGAUUGGGACUGAGACACGGCCCAAACUCCUACGGGAGGCAGCAGUGGGGAAUCUUGCACAAUGGAGGAAACUCUGAUGCAGCGAUGCCGCGUGAGUGAAGAAGGCCCUUGGGUUGUAAAGCUCUUUCGUCGGGGAAGAAAAUGACUGUACCCGAAUAAGAAGGUCCGGCUAACUUCGUGCCAGCAGCCGCGGUAAUACGAAGGGACCUAGCGUAGUUCGGAAUUACUGGGCUUAAAGAGUUCGUAGGUGGUUGAAAAAGUUGGUGGUGAAAUCCCAGAGCUUAACUCUGGAACUGCCAUCAAAACUCUUCAGCUAGAGUAUGAUAGAGGAAAGCAGAAUUUCUAGUGUAGAGGUGAAAUUCGUAGAUAUUAGAAAGAAUACCAAUUGCGAAGGCAGCUUUCUGGAUCAUUACUGACACUGAGGAACGAAAGCAUGGGUAGCGAAGAGGAUUAGAUACCCUCGUAGUCCAUGCCGUAAACGAUGUGUGUUAGACGUUGGAAAUUUAUUUUCAGUGUCGCAGCGAAAGCGAUAAACACACCGCCUGGGGAGUACGACCGCAAGGUUAAAACUCAAAUGAAUUGACGGGGACCCGCACAAGUAGUGGAGCAUGUGGUUUAAUUCGAAGAUACGCGCAGAACCUUACCAACACUUGACAUGUUCGUCGCGACUUUAAGAGAUUAAAGUUUUCGGUUCGGCCGGACGAAACACAGGUGCUGCAUGGCUGUCGUCAGCUCGUGUCGUGAGAUGUUGGGUUAAGUCCCGCAACGAGCGCAACCCUCACUUUUAGUUGCCAUCAUUUAGUUGGGCACUCUGAAAGAACUGCCAGUGAUAAGCUGGAGGAAGGUGGGGAUGACGUCAAGUCCUCAUGGCCCUUACGUGUUGGGCUACACACGUGCUACAAUGGUAUAUACAACAGGAAGCAAAACGGCGACGUUAAGCAAAUCCUCAAAAGAUACCUCAGUUCGGAUUGCACUCUGCAACUCGAGUGCGUGAAGCUGGAAUUACUAGUAAUCGUGGAUCAGCGUGCCACGGUGAAUGCGUUCCGCGGGUCUUGUA
rnacentral:rRNA from 1 species